GCGUCAUUUCAGCACAUGUGUUUGAGAAACGCUGACUCAGUCUCGCGAAAUACCUGAUUUCGAGAGCGUACAUAUAUCAAUUAACUACGACGUCACGAACCAAUAAGCCGCAGACUACUCAGUUGCUAUCGGACCAAUAUAUGUACAUAUAUGUAUGCAUGUACAUACUCAAUUGUCACUUUGCACACUGCACUAAAGUGUUAUCGAACGGUAAGACGUGAAAGACGAAGUCGAAACGACGACAUAUCUCGAAUCAACCAGAAAGAAGAGUAAGUUCUGAGAAGGUAGAAAACGAGCCUCUAUAAAAGCAUAACACAACCGGCUUUGGUGAACAGUGAGCGAACGUUUGCGUUAAACAAAGUACAAAGCGUUUUCUUAUCGCAAUUCAGUGCUGAAGAGUGUCUCCAAUAACAAAAACAAAAAUAUAAAAUACAGCGAAAAUGCCGUGCCCCUGUGGAACUGGUUGUAAAUGUGGCACUCAAGGCCAAGGCAGUUGCGGUUGCGGCAGCGGAUCCUGCCAAUGUGGCAGUGGCAAAGGUUGUUGCGGCAAAUAAAUUGGUGUGGCAGUAUUGAGUGCUACUUGCACUAUGUAGCACAGAGUGGAAUGUGUUGCUAAUAACCAUGAAUAA